ensembl:lncRNA
CCACGAUCCUCCCUGCCCAGCCCAGGGAGCCGGCAGCUCCUGGCCUGCCCGGGGGUCCUCAGUGUCCUCGCCUUUCAGAUGGAGGGCAGCUGCCUGUUCCCGACCCCUGUCACUGCCCUGUCACGCUGUACAGACUCAAUGCCUUUCAUCCUCCGCCAAGUCCGUCCCUCCUGGACCCGGCCUUCCUCCUCUGAACCUGCUCCGGGGGCCCCACCCUCUGAGCCCUCAAAUUCUGAGCUGGAUGUCACCUCUCCCUCUUCAGUGGGGAAGGGACUUCCCGACAUGGCGACCUCCUCCUAGUCCCCCCGAUUUCCUUCCAGCCAUUCUCCCAGGAGACUCCCCACUUUCGGCCUCUCCGAGAGUCAGCCUCCAUUCCCCCUCCCCCUUCCUGGGGCGCGGGCAACAGGUCUGAUUAUUGACCCCAUUUAAGGAGGCGUGAACGCUGAUGCCCCCGCUGCGGAGGAGGUCGGUCCAGGUCAUCAUUGUCAUCUACCUGUCGGUGGUGGGGGCCCUCCUGCUCUACAUGACUUUCCUGAUGCUGGUGGACCCUCUGAUCCGAAAGCCGGAUGCGUACACAGAACAGCUGCACAAUGAGGAGGAGAACGAGGAUGCUCGCUCUAUGGCGGCUGCCGCGGCCUCCUUCGGGGGACCCCGCGCCAACACGGUCCUGGAACGUGUGGAAGGCGCUCAGCAGCGGUGGAAGCUGCAGGUGCAGGAGCAACGGAAGACGGUCUUCGAUCGGCACAAGAUGCUCAGCUAGAGGGCCCGGCACAGUCGGGCCAAGGACCAGCGGCCACGGCUGGAUAGAGCCAGGGGCCACUCUCCCCUCCUUCGACGCCACCCUUCCUGGGUCUUCCCUUUAAAAGCCUGUGGCGUUUUUUCCUCCUUCUGCCCCUCUUUAGAAACGUUGUUCUCAGCUGAGUUAAUUCCGGAAGCGUGAUGGGGUCCCCGAUCUCUCGUUCGCCUGCUCAGGUCUUGGGGGUUUGUGGGGGGAAGGCAGGCCAAGAGGGGAUGGAGGCGUCCGUCUCAGGCGGCCUCAGGGUUGGAAGGAGCCUCUCUCUCAUUGCUCCACCCUUGCCACCUCUCCGGCUCCAAAUCCCGGGAAGGUUCCAGCCUCUGGAAGGUGGAGCUGGGUCGUCAGGACCUCGGUGUGUGGGAGGAAAGCCUGGCCCCUGCCACCUGUGCUGCUUUCUGCUGUGGUUGUGGUGGCUGCCUUCCUCGCCACCCCGAGACGUCAGCCCCCGAGCACCCAUCCCCUCUUCCUCCUCCCUCCUCUCCUCCCCUGACGCAUGGUGGUGGCCGUGCACCCUGCCUCCUCUCGGCCCGGCCCUCCCGCCCACUCAGGAGGCCAGGCAGGCCCCUUGCCUCCCUGUGUGUGUUGUCACUGAGCCAGACGGGUGGUGGGACCACGCGGCACAAGGCCGGGCGGUGGCUCUGAAUGCCACAGCCUUGGGGCACCACGCAUCCCUGAAUUUCCUUGUAGCGUGCAUGGGCAGACAUGUUUGUCUACCGUUGUCUGUAAGUCAAGGAAGCCAUCAUUAAAUUGUCUUAUUUCUCACUUUCU